rnacentral:rRNA from 1 species
GCUCUCGCAUCGAUGAAGAGCGAAAUGCGAUACUUGGUGUGAAUUGCAGAAUCCCGUGAACCAUCGAGUCUUUGAACGCAAGUUGCGCCCGAAGCCGUCAGGCUGAGGGCACG